UUCUUGUUAGCAUGUUUUGUAUCGGGCUUUGCAGUUCAACCUCCAGACCAGUAGGUGGUGCUUAUGGGAAAAAGCUGUCUGUCACAGAAGCAGAUGGGUAUUUGCUUGAUCUCGGUUUAUUGGGAGGAACAGAAACACCAAGCUCACCCAUGAAUACUUCAAUGAGGAGCACAGGCACCAGCUCUGACGGGAGUGACUGAGGGAGCUCCUGGUGAAAUGUGCCAAGGUUGCUGCAGUUGGAGAGGGGGCUCCACCAGCUCCACAUCCUGGGCAGACAGGAACACAGUCUCUUUCUGUAUCACACCCUUGUGCCAGGGCUGAUGACUCUCAGUUCAGGCAGACACUGUCAUCUAACGCCAGGCCACAAUGUCACCGAAAGCCAGGGAAAACACCUGUCCCGUGAUUCUUCACUGGAAUGGCUUCAGCAUGGAAUCUCUUCCCUCAGCUCAAUACAGACAACUUUGUGGCUCUCCUGUUCUCCAGUGUAGGAACACUGCUGCUUCAUAGAGAGAGGGGGAAUGGUUCUGCCUUACAGUACAUGCAGCAGCAGCAGCCGUGAUACACAUCUUUGGGGUGUGCAAAAGUACUUGGCCUCCCCACUCCCUCCCCACUCCCUCCUGGCACUGCAACAGCAGCUGGUACCAGGCUGCAGCGUUUCAGGAAUGAAAAGCCUGUGGAAUUCCAUGUGGGCCGAAGCAGUGCCUCUGCGCAAUCUCCGGAUGAUCUAUUCAAAGUGUGAAUAUUUACUAUUUUGAUUCAUCUCCAUGGAAGAGGAACCCACUAGCUGCUUCUAGUCAGCCAUCUUGAACCAGAAGCCCUUAUUUUACUUUUAUUUGUACUUUUUCUUUCAAAAAACUUUUUAAAUAUGUCAUUAAAAUGGUAAAUUUGCAAGUUUAAGUGAAAUCUAGUUUAGAAUUGAUGAAUUGUUAGUGAUGAUAUUCACAUCAUGAAAGUACUCAAUAGCAACUAGCCAAAGACAUUACUUUGAGGCAUGAAAAUAUCCUGUGUCUGUUUCUGCAAUAUAUGUUUAUUUCAGGAUAAAAAAAGAAAUUGUUUCUAUAAUGGAUUUUCACAUGGAACAAGUAAAAUGUUCUUGACUGAAUAUGUUGGCUGUCUUUUCUUCCAACAAACCAUUAGUUUACCAGUGUUGACAUUAGAAACAGCUCCUUACUAAAAAAUAAAAAUGUACCACCAAUGGAUCUCAGCUCUUAAGUGGAUUUCUAGUGACUAUGAUACUUGCAUGAAG
rnacentral:lncRNA from 1 species